AUGAACGCUGGCGGCGUGCCUAAUACAUGCAAGUCGAGCGAACAGACGAGGAGCUUGCUCCUCUGACGUUAGCGGCGGACGGGUGAGUAACACGUGGAUAACCUACCUAUAAGCCUGGGAUAACUUCGGGAAACCGGAGCUAAUACCGGAUAAUAUAUUGAACCGCAUGGUUCAAUAGUGAAAGACGGUUUUGCUGUCACUUAUAGAUGGAUCCGCGCCGCAUUAGCUAGUUGGUAAGGUAACGGCUUACCAAGGCAACGAUGCGUAGCCGACCUGAGAGGGUGAUCGGCCACACUGGAACUGAGACACGGUCCAGACUCCUACGGGAGGCAGCAGUAGGGAAUCUUCCGCAAUGGGCGAAAGCCUGACGGAGCAACGCCGCGUGAGUGAUGAAGGUCUUCGGAUCGUAAAACUCUGUUAUUAGGGAAGAACAAAUGUGUAAGUAACUAUGCACGUCUUGACGGUACCUAAUCAGAAAGCCACGGCUAACUACGUG
rnacentral:rRNA from 1 species